rnacentral:rRNA from 1 species
ACGAACGCUGGCGGCGUGCUUAACACAUGCAAGUCGAACGAUGAAAGCGGGAGCUUGCUCCUGCUGGAUUAGUGGCGAACGGGUGAGUAACACGUGAGCAAUCUGCCCCGAACUCUGGGAUAAGCGUUGGAAACGACGUCUAAUACCGGAUACGACGCGCGAAGGCAUCUUCUGCGCGUGGAAAGAAUUUCGGUUCGGGAUGAGCUCGCGGCCUAUCAGCUAGUUGGUGAGGUAAUGGCUCACCAAGGCGACGACGGGUAGCCGGCCUGAGAGGGUGACCGGCCACACUGGGACUGAGACACGGCCCAGACUCCUACGGGAGGCAGCAGUGGGGAAUAUUGCACAAUGGGCGCAAGCCUGAUGCAGCAACGCCGCGUGAGGGACGACGGCCUUCGGGUUGUAAACCUCUUUUAGUAGGGAAGAAGCGAAAGUGACGGUACCUGCAGAAAAAGCACCGGCUAACUACGU